GGUCAAUUAUCUUCAAAUAUACAUUCAGGAUUUGAGGGGACUCAAUAUGUAACAUGCCUUUGAACCAAUGGAGAGAUUGGUUCAGAACCAAUUGAGAGACGGGCAUAGCUCUAUGAAGACUAAGCCUCCACCUUUAACAUUGGCAAAAUGCUGAAUGGCAGAAGGCUGAAGAAAAGCUAAAAGCUCCGUCCUAUUGAGAAGUUCAUCACAGGGAAGACUCCACUGAAGUAAUCAGAUGCCUUUCCUGCUGCCCUGAGUCUUUAACUGUCCAAAGGGAGUCCUGAACCCAAAGCUGUUUCAGCUGCAUGCGAUUGUUAGGAUCAUUCACUCAUACCUCUUCGUUUAGGAUAGAGAACAAUCAGGCAAAGAAAGGGGAGGACUAACCCAAGGUCAGAUAAUUAGCUAAGGGCAUCAGAACCCACAGUUCAGGGUUGUUAGUACCACAUCAAGCUCCCUUGCAAAUUAGCUUCAUAAAUUCUAAGCCCACAGGCUCAGGGCUCAUCUGAAAGAGAUGGACCAGAGAGGAGGAGAUGGAGAAAAAAGUCUCCUACCACACACUGGAACCACUUUUACAGAAGUGCCUGUUGUCUCCCCUGCACCCCUGCACUCCCAACCCCAACAAUGCCAGGCAGCAAGCUGUUGCAGAAAGGAAGCAGGCUGCUGCCCCUGCAGUGUUCAGGCCUCCUCCUGGCAGGGCUCCCUCUACCUGAAUCCAUCUCAGGGAAAUGGUCAUCUCUGACUAUGCUGCACAGAGCCUGCAAAGCUAUGUUAAUAAUCUCUCUGGGCCUUAAACUGAAUAACCAAGAUUUCGCACAUGUACCAUUCACUUCCCACUUAAUAUGCACACUCAAUUUACACAGGAAGUAUGCCUAAGGCUCUUUCAAUGACUGUAUGUGACUACACAUAGGGUUUUUCUUUUAUAACAGAUUGGCAAAUGCCUGAGGUGGUAUGAGUGUGAUGUUGCUGGAAAACCUUAGUUGAAAUUCCUAGACUAUAUGAAAUCCUUUUUAAAUCUCCUUAUUCUGAAAACAUAUUUUUUUAAAAAAAAUUUAGACCACUCAUGGGAUUUAAAGUAAAAAGUACAAAUAUACUGUAUUUCGUGACUAUAAUCAAACUGGAGACAUUAUGCAAACAUAGAGCUCUUAUAUUUUCAUUCUUCUACUUUAGGUCGCAAUUGUCUAUCUCUGCAUUAUGUGCAAACCAAAAUGAGAACUGCAGGAAUAAAACACAUGGUUGUGUCCACGUUCUGAAUGUUCAAGUAUUAGCAGAAUU
rnacentral:lncRNA from 10 species